rnacentral:rRNA from 1 species
ACUUCGGUCAAGAGAAACUUUGACUUAGUGGCGGACGGGUGAGUAACGCGUGAGGAACCUGCCUUUCAGUGGGGGACAACAGUUGGAAACGACUGCUAAUACCGCAUAAUGUUUCCGGGUCGCAUGAUCUGGGAACCAAAGCUUUAUGUGCUGAAAGAUGGCCUCGCGUCUGAUUAGAUAGUUGGUGAGGUAACGGCUCACCAAGUCGACGAUCAGUAGCCGGACUGAGAGGUUGAACGGCCACAUUGAGACUGAGAUACGGCCCAGACUCC